rnacentral:rRNA from 1 species
ACGAACGCUGGCGGCGUGCUUAACACAUGCAAGUCGCACGGAAAGGCCCUGCUUUUGUGGGGUGCUCGAGUGGCGAACGGGUGAGUAACACGUGAGUAACCUGCCCUUGACUUUGGGAUAACUUCAGGAAACUGGGGCUAAUACCGGAUAGGAGCUCCUGCUGCAUGGUGGGGGUUGGAAAGUUUCGGCGGUUGGGGAUGGACUCGCGGCUUAUCAGCUUGUUGGUGGGGUGGUGGCUUACCAAGGCUUUGACGGGUAGCCGGCCUGAGAGGGUGACCGGCCACAUUGGGACUGAGAUACGGCCCAGACUCCUACGGGAGGCAGCAGUGGGGAAUAUUGCACAAUGGGCGGAAGCCUGAUGCAGCAACGCCGCGUGCGGGAUGACGGCCUUCGGGUUGUAAACCGCUUUCGCCUGUGACGAAGCGUGAGUGACGGUAAUGGGUAAAGAAGCACCGGCUAACUACGUG